CGAAAGGCAGCGACGGAGAAGAGUAGGCAAGAGGUAGUCGCCAGCGAGUCUGGAAUGGUGGAAGCAGAUACGACGAGCCCUGCCGAAAAUCCCUCCCGAGCCGCCAACCGAACGGAAGGCGCAUCAGCACCUCCAAGUAGACUUGGCCGGCCUCGUCCGCCGUUAUCGCAGACGAAGGUAUAAUAGUACCUUUGAGAGUGCCCCGACCAUGUCGGGAAAUGAGGGUGGUACCGCGGGUGACAAAUCCCGUCCCUUAG
rnacentral:ncRNA from 1 species